AUACAUGACAGUUUUCAGAGAGGAUUAAUUACCAUAGCAACAGAACACAAGGAAGAGCAGAGAUGUAGAAAACUACAGAGAUGGCGGAACACUCAGUUCCUACAGAGGAAGGCAGAGCUUCCAGUUAGAACUACAAAGAUGCCAUUUCUGAUACUACAGAAGCACUUAUUACAGACAAGAUGGCAGAAGAGCAAAGAAAGAAAACCUGUGUGAUGUAAUGUGUGCCAUAAGUAUCGAUCAAAUUACGAUAUGGUAACCCAGAAGAAUUUGGAGGAAGAGACUCCACAGCCGUUUUAAAUUCAAGAUGCAAAGCCACCUUGGAAUGGGAACCUCCAACAGAAAAACCAACUGAGGUUAAAGGAAUAUCAAGACCAAGUUUCCAGUUGUUGGACACAGAUGAUGUGGAGCUAUUGACGAGAGAUUCAACAGAAUCAUAGACCA